rnacentral:rRNA from 1 species
UACAGAGGGGGCGAGCGUUGUUCGGAAUUACUGGGCGUAAAGGGCGCGUAGGCGGCCCUCUAAGUCAGACGUGAAAUCCCUCGGCUCAACCGGGGAACUGCAUCUGAUACUGGAUGGCUUGAGUUCGGGAGAGGGAUGCGGAAUUCCAGGUGUAGCGGUGAAAUGCGUAGAUAUCUGGAGGAACACCGGUGGCGAAGGCGGCAUCCUGGACCGACACUGACGCUGAGGAGCGAAAGCCAGGGGAGGCAAACGGG